CAAAUACUCCCUCUGUCCGGAAAUACUUGUCAUCAAAAUGGAUAAAAGGAAAUGUAUCUAGACGUAUUUUAGUUUUAGAUACAUCUCUUUUUAUCCAUUUUGAUGACAAGUAUUUUUGGACGGAGGGAGUAGAAA
rnacentral:pre_miRNA from 1 species